UUGGAAUAAUAAUUUUUUUUAUUUUGUUCAUUUUUAUAUUAUACGCUUUCUACAUCUUGCUAUAUUAUUUCUACCUCUAGUUUUUUACAUUGUUUUCUCCUCUCUUCUUUUUUCUUUCUUUUUUAAUUGUAUUAUUAAACAUAUAAUUAACAAAAAUAAAUACAUAAUAAUAUUUGCAAAAUAUACGAGCAAAGUACAAAACGGUUUUAUAAUAAAAAAUUCACUUAUUUAUUUUUAUCUGAUGUAAGACACGUAUUUUUAUGUGUCCCUUUAUAUGCAGAUCAUGUCAUUACAAGUUUUAUAUAUAUAAAUACACACACGUUGCGAAUAAAAAAAAAUAUAUAUAUUUAUAUAUAUAUGUACAUUCUAUUUGUGUCUAAAAAAAAAGGGUAUUAAUAGAAAAAACAUAUAUUAUCCCAUGUGUAAUGCUUAACACUAUUAAAAUGAAUGGUUAAAAAUGAAAAAUAUAAAAAAAUUGAUAAAAGGUGUCCCAUAGCAAGUUGCAUUACUAUUUUUUUUUUUUUUUUAUUUUAUUUAUUUUUUUUAUGUAAUUCAUAACUAAUUUAUAAAAACGAAAAUAAAAAUUAAAAAUGAGUGAUAAGAUUUUAAAUAGCUUUACGAAUUUAGAUGAGCUUAAAUUAUUAUGUAAAAAAAAGGGUGACUUAUUAAAAUAUUUUAAAACAUGUAAAAGCCAAGACUAUGUGGAACUGUGGACUGCUGCACAAAAAACUUUAGAAGAACAUAUAACUUUAGACAAGUUCGAUUAUGAAGAAGAACCGGCAACACUAUUCUUUAUUGUAAAAAUAUAUAUGUCAUACAAAAAUGUUAUUUUAAAUGCAUACACUGUACAUAUCACCCCAUAUAUAUAUCACCCCAUAUAUAUAUCACCCCAUAUAUAUAUAUAUAUAUUUUUACUCCGUUUUAAGGAAGAAAAUGACCGACAAUAUGUUUUAACUUUUGUUAAUUUUGUGUUAAUAUAUAUGCAAUAUUUAACAAACCUCGAAAAAAAAACAAAAAGUAAUAUUCUUGAUUUGGAUUUUCAAAUAUUUUUUGAAAGACUAACUGGUUAGAACAAAGCAAAAAAAAA
rnacentral:lncRNA from 1 species